ACUGUCAUAACAAAAUACAGCCUGGAUGGCAGAACAGAAACUUAUUUCUCGGAGGCGUGGAGGCUGGGAAGGCCAAGAUCAAGGUGCUGAUAAGCCAUUAGUUCCUCAGGAUCACCUCUGACAUGUAAAGUCCCCAGUGAGAUCCCAAAUUCACUUGCAGAUAAUCUAAGAAACACACUAAAAGACCGGAUACUUUCUACAACCUACCCUGACAAAGAUUUACACACCUUUUCCAAAAGACUACACCACAACAGGCGACGAUGUACAGUCUAUUCGGUGCCAGAUACUAAGACUACAACAGAUGAAUAGAAGCACGGACCUUGUCUUCGAGGCCCUCGCCUCGAAGGCCAGUCAAGCGAACAGAUAAACAGGUAUAGUGAGGUAAAAGCUAAGAAGUGUCUAAAACACUGAGGACGGGAAGAGCACAGGAGUCUCAGAGGAAGAGGCAUUUGCGGAAAUGGCUUGCAAACGCUGUCAUUUUCUCCCUCUCUGGGUGCCCCUGAGACGGGAAGAGAGGGGUCUGAGGAGAGAAGGACAGCUGGAAAGGCACUGAGGCUGGCAUCCUCAGGGAAGCGGCCCCUGGUCACAGCAGGAGGACCAGGCGUGAGGUGGCGGAGAUGAGAGGAUGGGGGCAAGGGUCGGCCGCAGAUAAUAAAUGACACUGAAACAAGAGGAACCUCAUCUGGCAAGCCCAGGGGUCGGAAUUUUAACACGCAGCCAGGAGUAAGUCUCUGAGAAAUUGUGAACAGCGGAGUGACACGGCCACUUCACACCUUGCAAGGUGGCAAGGAACAACCUGACGGGAGGGAAACAGCAGGCCGAGAGCCUAAGGAAAUCCAAAGGGCCCGAACACAGGGCUGGCGCCAAGAUGAAGAGAUGAGAGAAGGGAAGA